UCAGCAGCCGCGUAACACGUAAGGGGCGAGCGUGUCGGAAUUAUUGGGCGUAAAGGGCAUGUAGGCGGUUAUGUAAGCUGAUGUGAAAUCUGGGGCUUAACCCUAGAAUAGCAUUGGGUACUGUGUAACUUGAAUUACGGAAGGGAAACUGGAAUUCCAAGUGUAGGGGUGGAAUCUGUAGAUAUUUGGAAGAACACCGGUGGCGAAGGCGGGUUUCUGGCCGAUAAUUGACGCUGAGAUGCGAAAGUGUGGGGAUCGAACAGGAUUAGAUACCCUGGUAGUCCACACCGUAAACGAUGUACACUAGGUGUUGGGGCAAGAGCUUCAGUGCCAAAGCAAACGCGAUAAGUGUACCGCCUGGGGAGUAUGCCCGCAAGGGUGAAACUCAAAGGAAUUGACGGGGGCCCGCACAAGCGGUGGAGCAUGUGGUUUAAUUCGAUGGUACGCGAGGAACCUUACCUGGGUUUGACAUCUAGUAGAAGGUCUUAGAGAUAAGAUCGGGUAGCAAUACCCUGCUAGACAGGUGCUGCAUGGCUGUCGUCAGCUCGUGCCGUGAGGUGUUGGGUUAAGUCCCGCAACGAGCGCAACCCCUACUGCCAGUUACUAACAGGCAACGCUUGAGGACUCUGGCGGAACUGCCGAUGACAAAUCGGAGGAAGGUGGGGAUGACGUCAAGUCAUCAUGGCCCUUAUGUCCAGGGCUACACACGUGCUACAAUGGUUACUACAAAGCGAAGCGAAACCGUGAGGGAGAGCAAACCGCAAAAAAGUAAUCGUAGUUCGGAUUGAAGUCUGAAACUCGACUUCAUGAAGUUGGAAUCGCUAGUAAUCGCGCAUCAGCACGGCGCGGUGAAUACGUUCCCGGGCCUUGUACACACCGCCCGUCACACCAUCCGAGUUGGGGGUACCCGAAGUCGCUCGUCUAACCCGUAAGGGAGGACGGUGCCGAAGGUACGCUUGGUGAGGAGGGUGAAGUCGUAACAAGGUAGCCGU
rnacentral:rRNA from 1 species